rnacentral:sRNA from 1 species
AAAAAAAAAUUAAAAACAUUUUAGUUUUUAAAAUUGUAUAAUUGUAUUGGGAGAUUUGCAAAACUCCCCCCCUUUUACUACUCUUUUGCAACAAUACCCUUUUAUAUUGUUCAUUUUUAAAAAUAUCCCUUCCCUUGAACAGAAUGACCAAAUUACCCUCAUGUCAUAAGAACAUGUAAUUGGAAACUGAAAGUUUUGGCGACAAAAUUUAUUUUUCCCGCCAAAGAAAAAAAUUCCGCCAAACUUUUUUUCCCGCAAAAAAA